GUCAUAGUUUGACACCGUCGUCAUCGUAUCAUCUCCGCCAUCUUCUCCGCCAUCCACCGCCGUUUGUCUCCGCCAUUCACCGUUGACAUAGGCAUCCAGCAAUUAUGAAGCGGAAGAGGCAAUCUAAAAUAACAGAUUUGAACUUCGAUGUGUUAAAGCACGUUAUGUAUCAUGUUGCUGUGUCACCUGAUGGAGCUGGAAAUCUUGCCCGAACUUUAUCAGUCUGCAGACUGUUCAAGGAACUUGCUGAUGAUUCUGACAUCUUAAAAGCCGCGGCGUUUGAUCAAGUUAACCUUUCUGGUAUUCAUGAAUCAUUCUGGCGACCUGCUGGGAUGUUAUGUAGGUGCUUACCAACAGGAAAUCCAACUGCUUUCAACACAAUAAGAAAGAAUGCAGAGAUAUUGAAUGUUUCUUAUGAGAUUCUCAAGAGGGACAUGUUCCGUGGAAAAAUGAUUCUUUUGGUAAGAAGCACAGCUCUUGAAAUUGCAAAUACCAGGGCAAGGAAGAAGGCUUUUGCAGCUGCCAUAGAUGACUGCUCAAGUACUUGUGAUGCCGUUGAUGCUCAAAUCGAAACUAUUGAGCAGUUUUUAGAAAUGUUGAAGGCUGUAUUGAAAGUAAUGAGAAGUCAGAUUGCUCAAUGAGGUUGAGCUGAUGCCUAGCUUUUUGAUGCCUCAUGAGCGUUUUGUGUUAAAACAUCUUCAAAGACGAGGACUCAGACAAAAUUGAAGUUCAGCAUUUGGGGCUUUAAAUAUGGGUUACGUAGCUUGCUGAGUGGUUAAAAUCCUCUUGUCGUUAUUGUCAGUGAGAUGGUGGCAGUUAUAUCAAACAUAAGUGUCACUUGUAACUUGCCAAUUUUUGUGCGCUCUGUGUAUCUUUGUUUCUACCGUUUUUCUUUUAACAUAUUAUGGUGUCAGACUGAAAUAUCUCAGUUCAGAGAGUAUGUAAAUCUAUUUGCAAACACUUCCAUUUUUGCGUAGAUGUGAUCGAUGGAU
rnacentral:misc_RNA from 1 species